rnacentral:rRNA from 1 species
GACGAACCGUGCGAACGUUGUUCGGAAUCACUGGGCUUAAAGGGCGCGUAGGCGGGCUGUCAAGUCCGGGGUGAAAUCCUCCAGCUCAACUGGAGAAUGGCCUCGGAUACUGAUGGUCUCGAGGAGGAUAGGGGCACACGGAACUGUGGGUGGAGCGGUGAAAUGCGUUGAUAUCCACAGGAACUCCGGUGGCGAAAGCGGUGUGCUGGAUCCUUUCUGACGCUGAUGCGCGAAGGCCAGGGGAGCAAACGGG